rnacentral:rRNA from 1 species
UACGAAGGGGGGCUAGCGUUGUUCGGAAUUACUGGGCGUAAAGGGCGCGUAGGCGGUACUUCAAGUCAGGCGUGAAAGCCCCGGGCUCAACCUGGGAACCGCGCUUGAGACUGGAGAACUAGAGUUCGGGAGAGGAUGGUGGAAUUCCCAGUGUAGAGGUGAAAUUCGUAGAUAUUGGGAAGAACACCGAUGGCGAAGGCAGCCAUCUGGACCGACACUGACGCUGAGGCGCGAAAGCGGUGGGGAGCAAACAGG